rnacentral:rRNA from 1 species
AUUGAACGCUGGCGGCAGGCCUAACACAUGCAAGUCGAACGAGUGGCGGACGGGUGAGUAAUGUAUGGGAAACUGCCCGAUAGAGGGGGAUAACUACUGGAAACGGUAGCUAAUACCGCAUACCAUCGGAUGUGCCCAUAUGGGAUUAGCUUGUAGGUGAGGUAACGGCUCACCUAGGCGACGAUCCCUAGCUGGUCUGAGAGGAUGACCAGACACACUGGAACUGAGACAAGGUCCAGACGCCUACGGGAGGCAGCAGUGGGGAAUAUUGCACAAUGGGCGAAAGCCUGAUCCAGCCAUGCCGCGUGUGUGAUGAAGGUCUUCGGAUUGUAAAGCACUUUAAGUUGGGAGGCGGUACCAACAGAAUAAGCACCGGCUAACUUCGUGCCAGCAGCCGCGGUAAUAC